GAAUAUUGGAUAAUGGGCGAAAGCCUGAUCCAGCCAUGCCGCGUGUGUGAAGAAGGUUUUCGGAUUGUUAAGCACUUCCAGUUGGGAGGAUGGGCAGUAUUCGAAUACCUACCCGUUUUGACUCUACCGAAAUAAAAAGCACCGGCUAUCUCUGUGCCAGCACCCGCGCUAAUACAGGGGGUGCAAGCGUUAAUAGGAAUGUCUGGGAGUAGAGCGCGCGUAGGGGGUGCGUUAAGUUGGGUGUGAGAUCCCCGGGCGCAACCGGGAAACUGCAUCGAAAACUGGCGAGCGAGAGUAGAGGAGAGGGUGGGGGAAUUUCCUGUGUAGCGGUGAAAUGCAUAGAUAUAGGAAGGAACACCAGUGGCGAAGGCGACCACCUGGGCUCAUACUGACACUGAGGUGCGAAAGCGUGGAGAGCAAACA
rnacentral:rRNA from 1 species